UGGAAUAGCUGUUAGAAAUGACAGGUAAUACCGUAUAAUCCCUGCGGGGGAAAGAUUUAUCGCUAUUAGAUGAGCCUAUGUUAGAUUAGCUAGUUGGUAAGGUAAUGGCUUACCAAGGCUAUGAUCUAUAGCUGGUCUGAGAGGACGAUCAGCCACACUGGAACUGAGAUACGGUCCAGACUCCUACGGGAGGCAGCAGUGGGGAAUAUUGGACAAUGGGCGCAAGCCUGAUCCAGCUAUGCCGCAUGAGUGAAGAAGGCCUUAGGGUUGUAAAACUCUUUCAGCAGGGAAGAUAAUGACGGUACCUGCAGAAGAAGUCCCGGCAAACUCCGUGCCAGCAGCCGCGGUAAUACGGAGGGGGCAAGCGUUGUUCGGAAUUAUUGGGCGUAAAGGGCAUGUAGGCGGUUUAAUAAGUUAAAAGUGAAAUACCAGGGCUUAACCUUGGAGCUGCUUUUAAUACUAUUUAAACUAGAGAUCGAGAGAGGAUAGA
rnacentral:rRNA from 1 species